GAUCCAUCCCACACUGACCUGACCUGGGCCUGCACCCCAGGCCUAUGAGGAGCCUGGCCUGGAGUAGGAGCUCCACCCACAGCAUCAUGUGGCCCUAACAGAGGCUUGGUCCAUGGCAAGACAGAGCACUGGGGACACAGGAAAGACA